rnacentral:rRNA from 1 species
ACAGAGGUCCCAAGCGUUGUUCGGAUUCACUGGGCGUAAAGGGUGCGUAGGUGGUCGGGUAAGUCUGAUGUGAAAUCUCCGAGCUUAACUCGGAAACUGCAUCGGAUACUAUUCGGCUGGAGGGUUGGAGGGGGGACUGGAAUACUUGGUGUAGCAGUGAAAUGCGUAGAUAUCAAGUGGAACACCAGUGGCGAAGGCGAAUCCCUGGACCGGUAUUGACGCUGAGGCGCGAAAGCCAGGGGAGCAAACGGGA